rnacentral:rRNA from 1 species
UACGGAGGAUCCGAGCGUUAUCCGGAUUCAUUGGGUUUAAAGGGUGCGUAGGUUGUUUUAUAAGUUAGCGGUGAAAUACCGAUGCUCAACAUCGGGGCUGCCGCUGAUACUGUAGGACUAGAGAUCGGAUGCAGCAGGCGGAAUGUGUAGUGUAGCGGUGAAAUGCAUAGAUAUUACACAGAACACCGAUUGCGAAGGCAGCUUGUUAGGCCGGAUCUGACACUGAUGCACGAAAGCGUGGGGAUCGAACAGG